UUCAACCUGUCAUACGGCUCAAGCGUGGACUGUGCAGCACUCCGUCUCCCAUCGACCUUGAAUUGCUUAGCCGCACCACCGGUAUUUUCACGCCACGGCUACCCAUGAACUCAGAAGGGAAACAGAGAAAGAAAGUUUGCUUGUGUGUGUGUGAGAGUGGUGAGAAACAAAGGGAUUGGUUACAUUGGUAGUGCCGUAAUGGGGAGAGAUCAGACAUGGGAACUUGGGAAAUGGGAAGGCUCUUUGUGAUUACACUAUUGAAGCCAACAAAUACCGAUUAGUGACAAAACUUGAAUUGGGCUCCACACUCCACUUUUGACUGACUCUGUGAGUAAUAAUUAAGGCAUCAAAUUUGUUUUUGUUUUGUUUUUUUUGUGUGUGUGCUACUCUCCUGAGUCCUGACCACAUGAUAGCUUUGCUUACUUUUACUAAUUUACAUUUGGCCCAUAAAAACGACAAGACUCAAGAGAUACUUUUGUAUAUUAUUCACAGUAGUUAAUUUGUUUUUAGUAUAUAAAUUCAGGGAUAUCUCUGGCCUUGGCUUUAAAAGUAUCGCCUACCUUCAGAACCUUCCCCACUAGAACACCACAACUACAAGAGAGAAAGAGAGAGGGAAUGCAGCUCUCUUACUGUGUAAAGUGAUAUAACAAUAUAUUUGGUUGGUACUGGUUAGAAAAGUGAGAAAGAAUUUUAUUGAUUAUUUAUCCUAUUCAAGAACUUUAUAGAUUUUAGGGGAUAUCCUAUUCAAGAACUUUAUUGUUUAUUUAUUCAUUUUGAAGAUUGUAGUGCAGCGCUCUCAUUGUAGAUGCAUAUUUCUCCUUUAAUUGGGCAAUUUGCAAACUCUAAUAUGAUUGACUAAAAUUUAUGGAGC